rnacentral:pre_miRNA from 1 species
UAUAUACUCUCUUCGUCCCAAAAUUCUUGUCUUAGAUUUGUCUAAAUACAGAUGUAUCUAACUAAUUCAAGACAAGAAUUUUGGGACGGAGGAAGUAUAAA